rnacentral:lncRNA from 1 species
GCUCAAAUUGAUGCCAAUGGGAAUGGUUUCAGAGAAUAGACCUGUAGGCUUUGUCAUUUGACCACCUUCAUGUGGUCAAUUCACUCAUGUUACUUCAUAGAUCAUGGAACGAAUGAUGGUGUAGGAGCAACUAUUGAUAUUCUUUUUUGUGAUGACUAGGAUGCCAUAGCAAAAGUGGAAGACAAAUAAGACUCCAACUUCCCAACAAGACAACCAUGGAUUGCCAUGUCUUG